rnacentral:tRNA from 1 species
GGAGUCGUGGCUUAGUGGUAGAGCACUUGCCUGGCAUGUAUGAGGCCCUGGGUUCGAUCCUCAGCACCA